rnacentral:miRNA from 1 species
AGGAUUUUUAGGGGCAUUAUGA